ACUCUUCUUGCCUCAGGGUGAUGCCUACCCUGGACACCUAACUGCCCCCUCUCCAUUCUAAAACCCCUUCUCACAAAGGAAGGAUAAACAGACUCACAUUCAAGUUGCAAUCACAGAUGUGACACGGUUUAAUGUAUAUCGUUCUCAGAGGCAUUCUAGGGGAAAGGAACAAGUCAAAAACUCCAGGUGGCAAUGUCUGCUCUGCCGCUUAUGAUCGUGAGACUAACCCAGCACGACAAACCCUGAGCCCAGUUUCUCACCAGUGUCCUUUAUGAGAAGAUGCCCUCACUGACCAGAUCAGUUCCCAAUGCUGGCAAGGCUGUAUGGAGGUCUAUUGCAGGUUACCAAUCUCACAGGAGUUUUUAGAAGAAUAAAUGAAGAAAUGAAAAUGAGACUAUUCUCAGCACAGUGGUCUAUAGAAAGUGCUGAAUUUAUGUUGAUUUACUCAACGAAGGACAAAACUUUAAAUUGUGAAAUUUUAUAUUUUUUGGGAUGCACUUGGAGGGCCUUUUUUUUUCCUACCUUUAAUCACAUUUUAUAGGUAGUUGCCAAUUCUGUUCUAUCUUUUCUUUUUUUCUACAGGGAAAACUGUACACUUGUCCUGAUCUUCACCAUGCUCUGAAAUGAACCUGUGUGAACCCAGCGUGACAGAAGCAGGGACCACAAAAGUCUAAGGAAUUCAUGUGUUAGGACUUCUUCCAGUUCUAUACAAUUCAUUUU
rnacentral:lncRNA from 1 species